CACCAACUCCUGUCAAUCGUGACUACUCCUAUCACCGAUCCACCGCCACCGUCUACUCCUGAAUCUUCUUCAGAUUUGAAUCCGUCUUCUACUCCAGAUGCGUCUUCUCAUAGUCCGUAUUAUUUUCAUCACAAUGACACUGCCAUUCUUGUUCUUGUUACAGAACUCCAUACUGAUGAAAACUACAUUUCUUGGAGUCGUUCUAUGCUGAUCGCUCUUUCUAUCAAGAAUAAACUUGGUUUAUUGAUGGCACACUUCAGAAACCUACUGGUGAUCUUUUGCCUUCGUGGAUUCUGAAUACUCACGUUGUGAUUGCAUGGAUUUUGAACUCUGUUUCAAAAUCGAUCUCUGUUAGCCUCAUUUUUUCUGAUUCGACGCGCGAUACAUGGGUUGAUCUGAAGGAACGUUUUCAGUGUAAGAACGGUCCUCGAAUUUUCCAACUCAAGCGCGAUUUAGCCACAAUCAAUCAAGAUCAGCUUUCUGUUUCCAUGUAUUUCACACGAUUGAAGAACAUUUGGGAUGAAUACGCUACUUAUCGACAAAGUUGUUCUUGUGGAGGAACAACAGCGGUCCAUUCCUCUUUUUCCGACGCUUCUCCGGCUCUUUCUCUUGCCGUUGGCCAAUCUUCUCGUGCUGCUUCAUCUACUUCAUAGCCUCCUAUUACUCGAUCGAGAAAGCCUCGUUCUAUUUGCACGCAUUGUGGUCUCUUAGGCCACACCAUUGAUGGAUGCUACAAGUUACACGGAUAUCCCCCUGGAUACCGCAAAUGAGUAUGUUGCAUCAAUUGCAAUCACAGUUUGCUGCUACAAAGACUAAUUCUCCAAAUUCUAGCUCCUCUUAUAUCGCAGGUACUUGCCCUAACAUACACUUACCCACAUCUUGUACUCAUCGCUGGAUUUUUGAUUCUGGAGCAUCAACACAUAUUUGUUUUUCUCGAGAAUUGUUUCAAUCUUUGUAUCUGGUUUCAAUUGCUGUGAUUUUGCCUGAUGGAACUCAGUUGCCUGUAUCUUCUGCUGGGACUGUUAUGCGUUUUAGAUCUGUUAUUCUAAAACAUGUUCUUUAUGUUCCUUAAUUUUGUUACAAUUUGCUUUCCAUCAGUGCUCUCACCACGGAUGCUUCUUUUGUUGUUCAGUUCUCUACUGAUUUUUGUGAUAUUUAGGAAAGGUCCAUUUUGAGGACAAUUGGCAGGGGUAAGAAUUAUGAUGGCCUUUAUCUGCUUGAGAUGCCUGCUACGGUUGCUGUCCAACCUUCUGUCUCGGUUCAUGCUGUCAUGGCUCGUGCAUCCAGUGCUUUAUGGCAUUCCAGGCGUAGACAUCCCUCUCACUCUCGUUUACAUGCAUCGAAGUCUGUGUUACCUUUUGUUGACUCUGAUGUUUCACAUGACCAUUCUUGUGAUAUUUGUCCUCUUGCUAAACAGAAGAGGUUAUCAUUUAGUUCUAAUAAUCGUUUGUCAGCUACUGCUUUUGAUCUUGUUCAUGCUUUGGGGCCCCUUUGCUACCCCUUCUUAUUCUAGUUAUAAGUACUUUCUUACAAUGGUUGAUGAUUGUACCAUAUACACUUGGGUUUAUAUGUUGCGGAGAAAAUCUGAUGUUUUGACUAUUAUACCACAGUUUUUUAA